CAUUCCGCAGGAGCCACCUCCACAGGCCUGGAACACGGCCCCCACGUCCGCCUGGGGCAGCCACGCUCCGCCCGCAUCCUCCAGCCUUCCUCCUGCCUGAAAACACAGUGGGAAAGUCCCCCCGGGCCCUUGCCCCACCCCCAGAGGGGAUGCCGAUCGUGUCACUGCCGGGGCCAGAGCCAGGCCCUCUUUGAGGAUGGAGGGAAGAGGAGCUUCCGGGCAGGUGGAGGAACAACUGGCUGGUCAGUGAGGUCAGUCGGCAGAGGGAGGCCCGAACCCCGAACCCGGCCUGGCUUUUCCAAAGUGCUGGAGAAAGGGGUCUGGGAGCCUGGAAACUAUGGAGCAAGCAGAGGGGUCGUGACGGUCAGCAAGGCGGGGCCGAGAGCCAGCAGUGGAAGGUGCCAUAUCAGGGGCGGCCCCAGGGGGUGGCCCGCUGCCUCUGGAGGCCCCACCUCUGGGGUGGGCAGCCCCGGGGAUCCAGGUAGAAGGGGGCUGACCCCCUGCUGGGAGCUGAGGAGGCUGGGCCAGGCCAGAGGUCUCCCAGGUCCUUCUGAGGGAGACGCUGCGAUGGUGACGUCAAAUCCAACCCCUGCCCCCCCCACCCUCCGCUCCUACAGAGCAUUAGCCAGGACCCAGAGACCUUUGACCUUUCGUGCUUCUCUUUACCCACAACUCCCCUGUCCGAGCCAGGCCAACUACGCCCAUUCCCCCCAGAGCAGGGGCCAUGGCUGGGGGGAGGAGAGGGAGGGUUCAUGCCUUCAGCCUCUCCCUCCUCCAGCUGCUGCAAAUCACGGCUGCCACAUUCGAUAAUGGUUAAGCUGCUCUUUGCUUAUUGACUCCUGAUUGAUUUUCCCUCCGUGGGUCAGUCAGCGGCUGAGAUCAAAGGUGGGUCAUGGUCUCAAGGGGCAAACGCGCGGCCUCCUGACGAGCCGCUGCCCUUUGCCGGGGAAGCCCUGAUGGAAAGAGGGCAGCCCGCCAAGGGGUCCGGGGGGGCUGGGCCAGAACCUGUCAUUCGUUGCUCAUUCAUUUGUCAAUUCAGUCAUUGAUUUGUUCAUCAAUCGAUCUGAUCAAUUAUUCAUUCAAAUCCAUCACGGUUGAGUCAUUGGGUCACGUCCAAACGCAGAUCCUUCGAGUUUCAGAACGCCCCGAUGUUCUCCGUGCCCAUUUCUGUCCCGUGUGGCCCUUGCAGGGACCGAGCAGACCCAGAGGAGCCAGAGCAUCUAUUGAGCUAAAGGCAGGCAAUGAGCUAGAACCGGCCUGGGGAGGGAGAUGUCCAAGGUCACCCGAGCAGGAACGGGGAGAACUGGGGACGUUCCAGCGGGCAGGUGUUGGCCCGAGCUUGCACCCAUCCCUGCGCCCCAGGGACUUGUUCCCCGGGCAAGCGCCCACUGAGCGUCCCCGGGUUUCGCCCCUGGGCUGAGCCCUAGGAGAGACCCAGGACCUGGGCCCUUCCUCGGAGAGCCGCCGGCUGGUUGUGGGAGCAGGAGAGAGAGACGGGCUUAGAACCAAUGCAGAGGAGCCUGCAAGAGGGAGCCGUGGAGUCCAGGUGGCGGCUUCCUGGAAGGGGCAGCUUUUAAAAAUUACUUUAACUGGGGUUGCCUUUAAUGUAAGCAUUGUGAGCGUCUGGUGCUGAGGGAGCAGAGCCGGGAGGCCCCGGCCCUGGCAGCAGCCAGUCACCCGGUGACCGAUUCUGCCUGGCGGCUCUUGUCAACCACACGCUUCGGGCCAGUCCCAGUGACUUGUGAUCCGGCCCAGAGAGAGGCGGGGGCCGAGGGGGGACCGAGCGGGGACUGAGCGGGACCCCCGCGGCUCACCGGCCCUGCUGCCCCCGCUCGCUUAUUGUUCCUUUCUCAGCUUUUCUCCUUUCUGACUGAUCUCCUCGUGCAGCGAGAUGACGUGUGCGUGCAUGUGCAUGUGUUGGGCUUAGUAUGUUCUCACUGUAUUUAACAUGCAAUCGGUUACUUGCCACCUGGGGGAGGGGGGUGGAACACAAGGGUUUACCAGGGUCAAGGUCGAAAAAUUAUCCAUGCGGAGGUUUUGAAAAAAAGCUUCUGAGGCAGUGGGGGGGGGGGGUGCAGUGGGCAGAGCAGCAGCCCCGAAGUCAGGGGGACCCGAGUUCAAAUAAGAUCUCAGACACCUGAUAGUUCCCAGCUGUGGGACCCUAGGCAAGUCACUUAGCCUGGAAAGAAAGAAAAAGGAAGGAAGGGAGGCAGGGAGAGGCAGGGGGGGUGUUGGCAGGAAGUGGUCAGUGGGUUGUUCUGCCAAAGGAUCCCACUAGACAAAUACUGAGGGUGUGCUAGGUACAGGCCCUGGGCUGGACAGAUGGGGAAACUGAGGCCCAGGGGGGAGGGAACCUAGCCAGAGGGGCAGAGCCCAGAGGCUUGGAGUGGUGGAGGGUGUUGCCCUCAAGGCCUUCUCCUCCCACACUUGAUCCUUGUCUGACCCAGGACUGUGCUGAGCCCCCCGGCGUGUCCCCCAGAACAAGGACCCCUUGUUCCCAGCCGGAGCCCGCGCCUCUGCCUGAUGUCAUGUCUCAGCUGUGGUGGCGGAUAGUGCUCCCCAUUGUCCGGGGCUGCCGGGGGGGGCACAGCCUGGGGGGUCUCGCAGGCCCAAGAGGGGGUGAGGAAGGGGAUGCAGGGAGCAGGUCAGGGGCCCUGUGGGUCCGAAGCACCGCGGAGACCGUCCCGCCCUGCUCCUUCUGUGGGACUUGUGAGUGUGAGCGUGAGUGUGUGUGUGUGAUUGUGUGUUUGUAUGUGUAAUUCCAUGCCCCCUGGUCCGCACCCUCGGCCCCUGCCUCUCGUGGUUGGCCUGGGCGGGGUCCGAGGGAGCGGGGCCGGUUCUGCUGACCCUUUGCUCCCUCGUAUUUCCUUUAGUGCUUUGACUGGUGCUGUGGGGGUGGGGCUGGCGCCGGGCGGGGAAGGGGGGGCGAGCCUAGAGGCUUUGGGGGCCAGUGACGGGCCCUGAGCCCAGGGAGACACUCCCGGUCCCCCUGAGGAAGU
rnacentral:lncRNA from 1 species